rnacentral:lncRNA from 13 species
AGCUUGAUCUGGUCUAGCAUACAGCUUGGUCUGGUCUAGCAUACAGCUUGCUCUAUCUGGGUCUGGGCUGGGUUUCUGUAAAGCACAUAAUGACAUGUGUCUGUGUCCCCUCUUUAUGGUUACUAGGACAAUGCUAGCCCUUCCUCCCUCCCGGAGUCCCCGCGUCGUGCCUCUCCCGGUAGCACCUUACUGCUGGGUAUGAAGAGGUUGUCUGUGCUGCUGGUGGACUGCAGGAAAAAAAUGGGGCUGAGUGGAACUGUGAGAGGAGGAAAAGAGAAGAAAGGAUCAGAUUUGACUCAUCAAAUGAAGAGACUCCAGGGAUGGUGAUGAAGGCUGUAGGAAUGAAGAUCAGACAGUGAAGAGACUCCAGGGGCGGUGAUGAAGGCUGUAGGAAUGAAGAUCAGACAGUGAAGGGACUCCAGGGAUGGUGAUGAAGGCUGUAGGAAUGAAGAUCAGACAGUGAAGAGACUCCAGGGAUGGUGAUGAAGGCUGUAGGAAUGAAGAUCAGACAGUGAAGAGACUCCAGGGAUGGUGAUGAAGGCUGUAGGAAUGAAGAUCAGACAGUGAAGAGACUCCAGGGGCGGUGAUGAAGGCUGUAGGAAUGAAGAUCAGUCAGCAAUACUGGUCCUGUGGUCAGGUGGGGGAGUGGUCGAUCCA